AUUGAACGCUGGCGGCAUGCCUUGCACAUGCAAGUCGAACGGCAGCACGGGAGCAAUCCUGGUGGCGAGUGGCGAACGGGUGAGUAAUAUAUCGGAGCGUGCCCAGUCGUGGGGGAUAACGCAGCGAAAGCUGUGCUAAUACCGCAUACGAUCUAAGGAUGAAAGCGGGGGAUCGCAAGACCUCGCGCGAUUGGAGCGGCCGAUAUCAGAUUAGCUAGUUGGUGGGGGUAAAGGCCCACCAAGGCGACGAUCUGUAGCUGGUCUGAGAGGACGACCAGCCACACUGGAACUGAGACACGGUCCAGACUCCUACGGGAGGCAGCAGUGGGGAAUUUUGGACAAUGGGCGCAAGCCUGAUCCAGCAAUGCCGCGUGCAGGAUGAAGGCCUUCGGGUUGUAAACUGCUUUUGUACGGAACGAAACGGCCCUUUCUAAUACAGGGGGCUAAUGACGGUACCGUAAGAAUAAGCACCGGCUAACUACGUGCCAGCCGCCGCCGUAA
rnacentral:rRNA from 1 species